rnacentral:rRNA from 1 species
GAUGAACGCUGGCGGCGUGCCUAAUACAUGCAAGUCGAGCGAACGGACGAGAAUCUUGCUUCUCUGAUGUUAGCGGCGGACGUGUGAGUAACACGUUGAUCACCUACCUAUAAGACUGGGAUAACUUCGUGAAACCGGUGCUAAUACCGGAUAAUAUUUUGAACCGCAUGGUUCAAAAGUUAAAGACGGUCUUGCUGUCACUUCUAGCUGGAUCCGCGCUGCAUUAGCUAGUUGGUAAGGUAACGGCUUACCAAGGCAACGAUGCAUAGCCGACCUGAGAGGGUGAUCGGCCACACGGGAACUGAGACACGGUCCAGACGACUACGGGAGGCAGCAGUAGGGAAUCUGACGCAAUGGGCGAAAGCCUGACGGAGCAACGGCGAGUGAGUGAUGAAGGUGUUCGGAGAGUAAAACUCUGUUAUUAGGGAAGAACAUAUGUGUAAGGAACUGUGCACAACGUGACGGUACCUAAUCAGAAAGCCACGGCUAACUACGUG